CCUACGGGAGGCUGCAGUGAGGAAUAUUGGUCAAUGGACGAGAGUCUGAACCAGCCAAGUAGCGUGAAGGAUUACUGCCCUAUGGGUUGUAAACUUCUUUUAUAUGGGAAUAAAAUGUUCCACGUGUGUGAUUUUGUAUGUACCAUAUGAAUAAGGAUCGGCUAACUCCGUGCCAGCAGCCGCUGUAAUACGGUAGAUCCGAGCGUAAACCUGAUUUAUUUGGUUUAAAUGUAGCGUAGGUGGAUUGUUAAGUUAGUUGUGAAAGUUUGCGGCUCAAACUGAGAAUUGCAUUUGAUACUGGCAGUAUAGAGUACAGUAGAGGUGGGAGGAAUUCGUGGUGUAGCGGUGAAAUGCUUAGAUAUCACGAAGAA
rnacentral:rRNA from 1 species